rnacentral:rRNA from 1 species
UACAUAGGUGGCGAGCGUUGUCCGGAAUUACUGGGUGUAAAGCGCGUGUAGGCGGGAGGCCAAGUCUGUGGUGAAAUCGCUCGGCUUAACUGGGCGGGGUCCAUGGAAACUGGUCACCUGGAGGUCGGUAGAGGCAAGUGGAAUUCCCGGUGUAGUGGUGAAAUGCGCAGAUAUCAGGAAGAACACCCGUGGCGAAAGCGGCUUCCUGGCCCGACACUGACGCUCAUGUACGAAAGCGUGGGGAGCAAACAGG